UGGGGAAUUUUGGACAAUGGGCGAAAGCCUGAUCCAGCAAUGCCGCGUGUGUGAAGAGGGCCUUCGGGUUGUAAAGCACUUUUGUCCGGAAAGAAAUCCUUGGCUCUAAUACAGUCGGGGGAUGACGGUACCGGAAGAAUAAGCACCGGCUAACUACGUGCCAGCAGCCGCGGUAAUACGUAGGGUGCAAGCGUUAAUCGGAAUUACUGGGCGUAAAGCGUGCGCAGGCGGUUUGCUAAGACCGAUGUGAAAUCCCCGGGCUCAACCUGGGAACUGCAUUGGUGACUGGCAGGCUAGAGUAUGGCAGAGGGGGGUUAGAAUUCCACGUGUAGCAGUGAAAGUGCGUAGAGAUGUGGAGGAAUACCGAUGGCGAAGGCAGCCCCUGGGCAAUACUGACGCUCAUGCACGAAAG
rnacentral:rRNA from 1 species